ACAAUUACGAUGGACCUCGGCCUCUCCCUGCCUUGCUCUCCUACUCUGGCUUGGGGAAAAAUACAGUAGGAUUAUGGUAGCAGCUUCGGCUUCACUAUUUUUUCCAGUGUAAAUGAAGAGUCACAUGGUGGAAUACGAAGAUAGAAUCUGUUUUCAAACUUCAUGGAAAUCUGGUUUGGCAAAGCAGAAGCAUGGGUCCUUCGGAGAUGUCAGAAAGGAGAGAAGGUUAUCUAGUUGCAGCCCAGCCUCUCUGAGCUAGCAGGUUUUCACCCCAGCCUUUGAAUCUUGAGUCUUAUUUACAAGUAGAAUGAUAGAGCUAUAGCUAAAGCUACCUUUAGCCAAAGUGACAGAGCCAGUACUUGGGGGAACAGAACUCCCUCCAGGCUAUGGCCUGAGCAGCCAGGCCACUGCUAAAGAAACAGGCUGGUAACUGUUGCAAUUGCUGGCUGAAAUAUCCGUAAAUUAAGGCACAGCCACUGUACUGAAGUUAAAACAACAGCUUUGAUAAAGAGAAGAUGACAAAUUGUGAAGGACAAAUCAAAUUAUUAUUGACAUGCGACGCUCUGCGUGUUUCAUGAGGGAUGAAGCAAAUGGAACACGUUUCUGCUUCAAAAGCUCGUUUUGACCACAAUACAGAAAGUAAAGAACAGGGGCAGAAAAGAUACCACUCAGAAAGUGAUUACAAUCACAAAAUGAGACACUAGCGAGGACUGGCAGGCUGGGGUAUUUCUGACUGAGAACAUAACUAGACUGAUCCAACCUUCAAACGCAUAGCCUUCCUUGCUCUUCUGAAGGAACCGCACAGCCUGUCACUGAAGAACAGAUACUGACUCGCUGCCUUGAGUCAACUCGACUUCUCGUCAGUGAAGUAUAAAGGUUUUCUGUAACAUUUUUCUUGAGACUGUGAUUUUUCCAUCCACUGAAUAAUGACAACCUGUCUACACCUUAAGGAGGAUGCAAACCCAUGUAAGACUCUCCAACAAAUGUUUCUGCCACACUCAAGACAAAUACUCAUCUAUACCAGUAUGGCUUCUCUGAUGGACACUUAAAUGGUUUCUCACCUGUGUGAGUUCUUCGGUGCCUUAUGAGAUUUGUACUUCGACUGAAGCAUUUAUCACACUCACUACACAGAUAAGGUUUUUCCCCUGUAUGGCUUCGUUGGUGGACAAGCAGAUCAGAGCUCUGACCAAAGUUCUUGCCACAGAUGUCACAGGGAGAAUGUCUACAAUUUAUCACAAAGGUCAAGUUUGCAAGAGUGGACUGGCACCUACAUAUAAAUUUAUAAAUGAAAAUAUCAAAACUCACUGAAAAUGGCAUGCUAAUAAAUGUAAAUGCUCACCAAAUUCA